UAUCAAUAAGCGGAGGAAAAGAAACCAACAGGGAUUGCCUUAGUAACGGCGAGUGAAGCGGCAACAGCUCAAAUUUGAAAUCUGGCUCUUUCAGAGUCCGAGUUGUAAUUUGCAGAGGGCGCUUUGGCUUUGGCAGCGGUCCAAGUUCCUUGGAACAGGACGUCACAGAGGGUGAGAAUCCCGUACGUGGUCGCUAGCUAUUGCCGUGUAAAGCCCCUUCGACGAGUCGAGUUGUUUGGGAAUGCAGCUCUAAAUGGGAGGUAAAUUUCUUCUAAAGCUAAAUAUUGGCCAGAGACCGAUAGCGCACAAGUAGAGUGAUCGAAAGAUGAAAAGCACUUUGGAAAGAGAGUCAAACAGCACGUGAAAUUGUUGAAAGGGAAGCGCUUGCAGCCAGACUUGCUUGCAGUUGCUCAUCCGGGCUUUUGCCCGGUGCACUCUUCUGCAGGCAGGCCAGCAUCAGUUUGGGCGGUGGGAUAAAGGUCUCUGACACGUUCCUUCCUUCGGGUUGGCCAUAUAGGGGAGACGUCAUACCACCAGCCUGGACUGAG
rnacentral:rRNA from 1 species